rnacentral:rRNA from 1 species
GCUGGCGGCAGGCCUAACACAUGCAAGUCGAGCGCCGUAGCAAUACGGAGCGGCAGACGGGAGAGUAACACGUGGGAACGUACCCUUUGGUUCGGAACAACCCAGGGAAACUUGGGCUAAUACCGGAUAAGCCCUUACGGGGAAAGAUUUAUCGCCGAAGGAUCGGCCCGCGUCUGAUUAGCUAGUUGGUGGGGUAAUGGCCCACCAAGGCGACGAUCAGUAGCUGGUCUGAGAGGAUGAUCAGCCUCACUGGGACUGAGACACGGCCCAGACUCCUACGGGAGGCAGCAGUGGGGAAUAUUGGACAAUGGGCGCAAGCCUGAUCCAGCCAUGCCGCGUGGGUGAUGAAGGCCCUAGGGUUGUAAAGCCCUUUCGGCGGGGAAGAUAAUGACGGUACCCGCAGAAGAAGCCCCGGCUAACUUCGUGCCAGCAGCCGCGGUAAUACGAAGGGGGCUAGCGUUGCUCGGAAUCACUGGGCGUAAAGCGCACGUAGGCGGAUUGUUAAGUCAGGGGUGAAAUCCUGGAGCUCAACUCCAGAACUGCCUUUGAUACUGGCAAUCUCGAGUCCGGGAGAGGUGA